rnacentral:rRNA from 1 species
UACAGAGGGUGCAAGCGUUGUCCGGAAUCACUGGGCGUAAAGGGCGCGUAGGUGGCCUGAUAAGUAGGAGGUGAAAUCCCCCGGCUUAACCUGGGAACUGCGUCUGAUACUGGAAGGCUUGAGUUUGGGAGAGGGAUGCAGAAUUCCAGGUGUAGCGGUGAAAUGCGUAGAUAUCAGGAGGAAUACCGGUGGCGAAGGCGGCCUUCUGGACGGUGACUGACGCUGAGACGCGAAAGCGUGGGGAGCAAACAGG